rnacentral:rRNA from 1 species
GCAAGUCGAGCGGGCGUAGCAAUACGUCAGCGGCAGACGGGUGAGUAACGCGUGGGAACGUACCUUUUGGUUCGGAACAACACAGGGAAACUUGUGCUAAUACCGGAUAAGCCCUUACGGGGAAAGAUUUAUCGCCGAAAGAUCGGCCCGCGUCUGAUUAGCUAGUUGGUAGGGUAACGGCCUACCAAGGCGACGAUCAGUAGCUGGUCUGAGAGGAUGAUCAGCCACAUUGGGACUGAGACACGGCCCAAACUCCUACGGGAGGCAGCAGUGGGGAAUAUUGGACAAUGGGGGCAACCCUGAUCCAGCCAUGCCGCGUGAGUGAUGAAGGCCCUAGGGUUGUAAAGCUCUUUUGUGCGGGAAGAUAAUGACGGUACCGCAAGAAUAAGCCCCGGCUAACUUCGUGCCAGCAGCCGCGGUAAUACGAAGGGGGCUAGCGUUGCUCGGAAUCACUGGGCGUAAAGGGUGCGUAGGCGGGUCUUUAAGUCAGGGGUGAAAUCCUGGAGCUCAACUCCAGAACUGCCUUUGAUACUGAAGAUCUUGAGUUCGGGAGAGGUGAGUGGAACUGCGAGUGUAGAGGUGAAAUUCGUAGAUAUUCGCAAGAACACCAGUGGCGAAGGCGGCUCACUG